rnacentral:rRNA from 1 species
UUCAUGGAGAGUUUGAUCCUGGCUCAGGACGAACGCUGGCGGCGUGCCUAAUACAUGCAAGUCGAGCGGACCGACGGGAGCUUGCUCCCUUAGGUCAGCGGCGGACGGGUGAGUAACACGUGGGUAACCUGCCUGUAAGACUGGGAUAACUCCGGGAAACCGGGGCUAAUACCGGAUGCUUGAUUGAACCGCAUGGUUCAAUCAUAAAAGGUGGCUUUUAGCUACCACUUACAGAUGGACCCGCGGCGCAUUAGCUAGUUGGUGAGGUAACGGCUCACCAAGGCGACGAUGCGUAGCCGACCUGAGAGGGUGAUCGGCCACACUGGGACUGAGACACGGCCCAGACUCCUACGGGAGGCAGCAGUAGGGAAUCUUCCGCAAUGGACGAAAGUCUGACGGAGCAACGCCGCGUGAGUGAUGAAGGUUUUCGGAUCGUAAAACUCUGUUGUUAGGGAAGAACAAGUACCGUUCGAAUAGGGCGGCACCUUGACGGUACCUAACCAGAAAGCCACGGCUAACUACGUGCCAGCAGCCGCGGUAAUACGUAGGUGGCAAGCGUUGUCCGGAAUUAUUGGGCGUAAAGCGCGCGCAGGCGGUUUCUUAAGUCUGA